rnacentral:rRNA from 1 species
UACGUAGGGUGCGAGCGUUGUCCGGAAUUAUUGGGCGUAAAGGGCUCGUAGGCGGUUUGUCGCGUCGGGAGUGAAAUCCACUGGCUUAACUGGUGGCUUGCUUUCGAUACGGGCAGACUGGAGGUAUGCAGGGGAGAACGGAAUUCCUGGUGUAGCGGUGAAAUGCGCAGAUAUCUGGAGGAACACCGGUGGCGAAGGCGGCAUCCUGGACCAACACUGACGCUGAGUGAGCGAAAGCCAGGGGAGCAAACGGG